AUUGAACGCUGGCGGCAGGCUUAACACAUGCAAGUCGAGCGGGGAAAGGUAGCUUGCUACCUGACCUAGCGGCGGACGGGUGAGUAAUGCUUAGGAAUCUGCCUAUUAGUGGGGGACAACAUCUCGAAAGGGAUGCUCAUACCGCAUACGUCCUACGGGGGAAAGCAGGGGACCUUCGGGCCUUGCGCUCAUAGAUGAGCCUAAGUCGGAUUAGCUAGUUGGUGGGGUAAAGGCCUACCAAGGCGACGAUCUGUAGCGGGUCUGAGAGGAUGAUCCGCCACACUGGGACUGAGACACGGCCCAGACUCCUACGGGAGGCAGCAGUGGGGAAUAUUGGACAAUGGGGGGAACCCUGAUCCAGCCAUGCCGCGUGUGUGAAGAAGGCCUUUUGGUUGUAAAGCACUUUAAGCGAGGAGGAGGCUACCGAGAUUAAUACUCUUGGAUAGUGGACGUUACUCGCAGAAUAAGCACCGGCUAACUCUGUGCCAGCCGCCGCCGUAA
rnacentral:rRNA from 1 species